rnacentral:rRNA from 1 species
AGAGUUUGAUCCUGGCUCAGAGCGAACGCUGGCGGCAGGCCUAAAACAUGCAAGUCGAACGCCGUAGCAAUACGGAGUGGCAGACGGGUGAGUAACACGUGGGAACGUGCCUUUUGGUUCGGAACAACCCAGGGAAACUUGGGCUAAUACCGGAUAAGCCCUUCGGGGGAAAGAUUUAUCGCCAGAAGAUCGGCCCGCGUCUGAUUAGCUAGUUGGUGGGGUAAUGGCCCACCAAGGCUACGAUCAGUAGCUGGUCUGAGAGGAUGAUCAGCCACACUGGGACUGAGACACGGCCCAGACUCCUACGGGAGGCAGCAGUUAGGAAUCUUGGACAAUGGGCGCAAGCCUGAUCCAGCCAUGCCGCGUGAGUGAUGAAGGCCUUAGGGUUGUAAAGCUCUUUCAGCGGGGAAGAUAAUGACGGUACCCGCAGAAGAAGCCCCGGCUAACUUCGUGCCAGCAGCCGCGGUAAUACGAAGGGGGCUAGCGUUGCUCGGAAUCACUGGGCGUAAAGCGCACGUAGGCGGAUUGUUAAGUCAGGGGUGAAAUCCUGGAGCUCAACUCCAGAACUGCCUUUGAUACUGGCGAUCUUGAGUCCGGGAGAGGUGAGUGGAACUCCGAGUGUAGAGGUGAAAUUCGUAGAUAUUCGGAAGAACACCAGUGGCGAAGGCGGCUCACUGGCCCGGUACUGACGCUGAUGUGCGAAAGCGUGGGGAGCAAACAGGAUUAGAUACCCCCGUAGUCC